rnacentral:tRNA from 1 species
GGGUUAGGACGAGUGGUAGCGAACUGAUAAGGAAGAGGUCCCUGGUUCGAGUCCAGGCAGGCCCACCA